rnacentral:rRNA from 1 species
UGUGAAGUCAUUGAUGCCAUGCUUCCAGGAAAAGCCUCUAAGCUUCAGAUUGUAAGGAAUCGUACCCCAAACGACACAGGUGGUCGGGUAGAGAAUACCAAGGCGCUUGAGAGAACUCGGGUGAAGGAACUAGGCAAAAUGGUACCGUAACUUCGGGAGAAGGUACGCUCUUGAUGGUGAAGUCCCUUGCGGAUGGAGCUGACGAGAGUCGCAGAUACCAGGUGGCUGCAACUGUUUAUUAAAAACACAGCACUGUGCAAAAUCGUAAGAUGACGUAUACGGUGUGACGCCUGCCCGGUGCCGGAAGGUUAAUUGAUGGGGUUAGACUUC